rnacentral:rRNA from 1 species
GUGCAGCCGCCGCGGUAAUACCGGCAGCCCGAGUGAUGGCCGAUAUUAUUGGGCCUAAAGCGUCCGUAGCUGGCCGAACAAGUCCGUCGGGAAAUCCACGUGCUUAACGCGUGGGCGACCGGCGGAAACUGUUCGGCUUGGGACCGGAGGACCCGAGGGGUACGUCCGGGGUAGGAGUGAAAUCCCGUAAUCCUAGACGGACCGCCGGUGGCGAAAGCGCCUCGGGAAGACGGACCCGACAGUGAGGGACGAAAGCUGGGAUCUCGAACCGGAUUAGAUACCCGAGUAGUCC